GGGGCGAGCUUCCCUCGAUCCUGAGGUUGCGAGACAGCAGCUCGUCGAAGCACUAGAUCUCCUGCUCUAAAGACUUUAUUCUUGACCUGGGAAUUGUAAUAGUGGGCGACUUUCUGUCUGUAGGCUGCCAUCCGAACUUGAGCUACCUCCCACUUUUCUUCCAGUAAGUCGAGGUUGGCUUUAAGACCUUACGAAUUGUGAUGUUCGUUGAAUGCCACGACUC
rnacentral:lncRNA from 1 species